rnacentral:lncRNA from 1 species
CUGUAAUCCUUAUGGCUGUAAUUCCAGCUGCUGUUGCUACUCGUGCUCCCACAAGGGGGCAGUACAGAGCCUGGAGUGAGGGCAAAGACGCAGUUGCUAUUUCAGCCUCCUAGAGGGAGCGCAGGAAGGUGGUGCGCAUGCCCAUUAGCUGUUUGGAAGGUGGUGUGCAAAGCUCCAUUAAGGGCAGCAUCCCUGCAUGUGCCCACAUCUCCCCUUAGAGGCUGGGAGCUCUGUCAGGGUACAAAACUGGUCAGAUGCAGCCUUGACCUGCAGGGAGAAGACAGAGCUGCCAGGGGACACCGUGACUCAGCUGUGUGGUGGAUCUCAAUGUGGUUUCCUCUAAUUGCACCGGUUAUUUGGACUUUACUGGUCUGCAGCAGGCAGUGCUAUGCUAAGAUAGGUGUCACCUAGGACAUGAAACCUAAGGAUUUACCACGGAUCAAUGCUCUUUUGCCUGGUCAAUCAUCCCUGAAGUUUCCUAAAGCCUCGUGGAAUAAUUUACUCGGAGAUAUGGACAGCAGCUUUCAUUGCCACUGAACUUGACCAAAUGAGGCAUCUCAAGCAGCAGAGGGUGCUGCUCAUGAGAAUGCCAUCAGCUGAUUUGAUUUAUCCCUUUUACUAGAGGAACUUCUAUGACCCUGUCGCAUGAGUCCACAGAGCAGCUGUCAGUGCCCCUGGACCUGUUCUCCAAGAGGAAAUGUUUAUGCACUACAUUAAUUUUUCAGGCUUGCCUGAGGAGUCACUUGGCCUUUUGCUACCUCGUGCAUUAUUCAAACCAUGAUCAGCCCUAUGACUGAGUGACAGCAACCUCUCUGUCUCUGUUUCACAGAAACUCCACAUCAAACGGUGUCCAUCCAAGCCAAGGGAGGCCUUUGGAUAUAUUUGAAAACACAAUAAUGUAAGAGUUACAAAACAUACAAAGCUUCAGAGCAGCAACAGCUCUUCUCCUUCCUACAAAACAUCAUGUGAUCAAUACAGCUUAACUUCCCCACCAACAGACUCGAGUGAAUUUGAUGUUGAUGAAACGUGGUGGAUUGACAGCCCUGGGCUAGAUCUGCACUAGAGAUCUGAGCCAUUGGUAAUCUGACUGGUGCCAUUGCAUUUAGAGUAAAUUGGCUGAAAUUGGGAACAAGGGGCCAGUCGCCGUGGUGGGUGCAGCUGGUAAAGGUGUAUUGCGAAGUCUCAUUACAAUUGGGAAUGAUUAUGGUAAACUUCAGAGGAUGCACACAAAUACCUCUGAUUUAAGACCUUUUUCAAUUAUACAUUAAUAAUAAGUCUCCCUUAACUCAUGUGUUCAGUUUCUGUUACUUGAAAAUGUGGUGUUAAAGUGUAAAUAUUAUAGCCAGUUACUUCAUUUUCUCAUUCAUUUACUGUGUGUUGUGUGAUGUUAUGAUUAACUGACAUACCAUGUAAUAUAUAAUCAUUGUAUGUUGAAUAGACUGAAGUGGUAGGCUUAUAGAAGUAUUAGAUUGAUGAAUAAUUAGAAGGGCUAAGUGUGUAUUAGGUAUCUAAGUAAAUAGGGCUGAAACACAAGGCCUACAGGCUCAGGCCUGUAAGAUUUUAGCUUAGCUAUACUAGGCCUUACAAUUAAGAAAUGCUUGACAUAAGUAAGUGACGAAAGAAUAACCUGAUGCCAUAAGAUUACAGGACAAAAUGUACCAAUGGGUGAUACUGCGAAAAAUUAGCCGUAUGUUUCAUUUUAGAUAACAAAGUGCCCGAGAGGCACAUUCUUUCUAACACAUGCCUUACUACAGGUUUUGCGUCAGUGCUAACGAGAAUAAAAGGAACUGUACACAACCUAUGAAAAAUGCG